UACGGGGGGGGCAGGCGUUGUUCGGAAUUACUGGGCGUAAAGGGUUUGUAGGUGGCCCGCUAAGUCACACGUGAAAUCCCUCAGCUUAACUGGGGAACUGCGUGUGAGACUGGCAGGCUCGAGGGCAGGAGAGGAACGCGGAAUUCCAGGUGUAGCGGUGAAAUGCGUAGAUAUCAGGAGGAACACCGGUGGCGAAGGCGGUUCUCUGGGCAUUACCUGACGCUGAGGAGCGAAAGUGUGGGGAGCGAACAGG
rnacentral:rRNA from 1 species